GCAGGGGUUUCGCGCGUGCGCACGGUGGACAAAAGGCUCGGUGACUCGGCGGCAGACCCUGCAUUAUCCCAGAUUGCUUUGCUGUAUGCUAACUGAGGACGUGGAAGGAGGCGUGUGACUUUGGCUUCGAAGGACAAAAAAUAAGAUGAUCAAAAACAGAAAAGAUGUUCAAGACUUUUGACAACUUGGUUAGAGUCCCCCAAACACAAACUAAUCCAAGAGUUCAUACUCUCGAGGAGAAUGAUA